CACACCGCCCGUCGCUACUACCGAUUGAAUGGCUCAGUGAGGCUUUCGGACUGGCCUAGAGGAGUCGGCAACGACACCUCAGGGCCGGAAAGUUAUCCAAACUCGGUCAUUUAGAGGAAGUAAAAGUCGUAACAAGGUCUCCGUUGGUGAACCAGCGGAGGGAUCAUUACAGAGUUAUCUAACUCCCAAACCCAAUGUGAACCUACCUAUGUUGCCUCGGCGGGAGAAGCCUACCCGGUACCUACCCUGUAGCUACAGGGAACUAUCCUGUAGUUGAUGGCGGACCCGCCGGUGGACAUUUUAAAAACUCUUGUUCUACUGUGAUACUCUGAGUAAUAAACUAAAUAAGUUAAAACUUUCAACAACGGAUCUCUUGGUUCUGGCAUCGAUGAAGAACGCAGCGAAAUGCGAUAAGUAAUGUGAAUUGCAGAAUUCAGUGAAUCAUCGAAUCUUUGAACGCACAUUGCGCCCAUUAGUAUUCUAGUGGGCAUGCCUGUUCGAGCGUCAUUUCAACCCUUAAGCCUUAGUUGCUUAGCGUUGGGAGGUUGCCUCUCGCAACUCCCUAAAAUCAGUGGCAAGGACCACGACACCUUGAAGUGUAGUAGUUUAAUUCUCACUUUGGAGGACCGUAGCCCAGCCAUAAACCAACUAUUUUUAAUUAUUGGUUGACCUCGGAUCAGGUAGGAAUACCCGCUGAACUUAAGCAUAUCAAUAAGCGGAGGAAAAGAAACCAACAGGGAUUGCCCUAGUAACGGCGAGUGAAGCGGCAACAGCUCAAAUUUGAAAUCUGGCCUUCGGGUCCGAGUUGUAAUUUGUAGAGGAUGCUUUUGGUGCGGUACCUUCCGAGUUCCCUGGAACGGGACGCCAUAGAGGGUGAGAGCCCCGUACGGUUGGAUACCUAGCCUCUGUAAAGCUCCUUCGACGAGUCGAGUAGUUUGGGAAUGCUGCUCUAAAUGGGAGGUAAAUUUCUUCUAAAGCUAAAUACCGGCCAGAGACCGAUAGCGCACAAGUAGAGUGAUCGAAAGAUGAAAAGCACUUUGAAAAGAGGGUUAAAUAGCACGUGAAAUUGUUGAAAGGGAAGCGCUUAUGACCAGACUUUUGUCCGGCGGAUCAUCCGGUGUUCUCACCGGUGCACUUCGCCGGGCUGAGGCCAGCAUCGAUUUCUGUAGGGGGAUAAAGACUUCAGGAAAGUAGCUCCCUUCGGGGAGUGUUAUAGCCAGUUGUGUAAUACCCCUAUAGGGAUCGAGGUUCGCGCAUCUGCAAGGAUGCUGGCAUAAUGGUCAUCAGCGACCCGUCUUGAAACACGGACCAAGGAGUCGAACAUUUAUGCGAGUGUUUGGGUGUUAAACCCUCACGCGUAAUGAAAGUGAACGGAGGUGAGAGCCCUUACGGGUGCAUCAUCGACCGAUCCUGAUGUCUUCGGAUGGAUUUGAGUAAGAGCAUAACUGUUCGGACCCGAAAGAUGGUGAACUAUGCGUGGAUAGGGUGAAGCCAGAGGAAACUCUGGUGGAGGCUCGCAGCGGUUCUGACGUGCAAAUCGAUCGUCAAAUCUGCGCAUGGGGGCGAAAGACUAAUCGAAC
rnacentral:rRNA from 1 species